rnacentral:rRNA from 1 species
CCUACGGGAGGCAGCAGUGGGGAAUAUUGCGCAAUGGGCGAAAGCCUGACGCAGCGACGCCGCGUGAGGGAUGAAGGUCUUCGGAGCGGAAACCUCUGGCAGCAGGGAAGAACGGUCACUGUGCUAAUCAGCAGUGAAUUGACGGUACCGGCAAAGGAAGCACCGGCUAACUCCGUGCCAGCAGCCGCGGUAAUACGGAGGGAGCGAGCGUUAAGCGGAAUUACUGGGCGUAAAGCGCUCGUAGUCGGUAUGUCAAGUCACGGGUGAAAUCCCCGCGCUCAACGUGGGAACUGCCUUUGAAACUGGCAGACUGGAGUGUGUGAGAGGCUAGUGGAAUUCCAGGUGUAGGCGU